AAACAAACAGAUUUAAUAGCAUAUCUGACAGUUAGACAUACAAUAACACCAAAUGCCCCUUCUGGGUUCUUCACAUAAAAAUAAUGUUCAGAAUCACAAAUUCAUCAUUGAAGCAGUCUCUCAAAAUUCUUUUUCAUUCCUUUCAAAGAUAUAAAAUAGUUUGUGGUUCCAGCAGGUGUGUAGUGUUUGCUGAUUGCGGCUCUCUCUCUCUCUCUCUCUCUCUCCUUGACCGUCCCUUCACUUCACUUUGCUCAUUAGACUAGACUGUUUAUUUUCAAUUUACUCGCUUUGCAUUCUGGGUUUGACAGACUGGACGCUCAUACGUGUCAUUCAAGUCACACAUAUCAAGUGGCAGGUGCCAUAGGAAGGAGGGACAACUUUUUUUUUUUUUUAAUGGAACUCAAUGCAAUUGACUGGUGGAUUGCGAUCGGCAUAUUGGGCCCCCCUGGUUUAACUGAGUGGUUUACCUUUUUGUUUACAGUUAGAUUACAAGUUGUGCCUAUCAGAGAUGUAAUUAACCUAAAUGGUUGCAGAUUCAGUAUCAUUGCUGCAAAAGAUAUUAAACGUGCUGAGAUGCAAUUCAAAGAAACCCAUGGAUUUUAAAUGUAAUCAUGUGAAACAUUUCUCUUACACAGUUAAAGGAGAAAAAAAUAUUUAUGCAAUAGUUAUUUUCAUAUCAACAGUUAAAGCAAUGUAAUUUUUUAAUGAAUAUUAUGCAGAGAAGACAGGCAAAUUGCAAAAAAUCCCAAAUGACUGGUCAAUCAAGUACUGUACAGAUUAUGAAGGAUUUAAAAGGGGACCUAUUAUGCUUUUCUUUAUUUUCUGUCAUAUUUAUAAUGUUAUAAUGUCAGAUGGUCAUUAAAUGUGGCUAAAGUGUCUAAUAAUGACAACAUUGGCUUGUGACAGAUUUCUUUAUAUGGUCAUUUGCUCCACGGGAGUUCACUGGUCUGCUCUGCUCUGGUAAUCGCACCAAGCCAUGACUCCAUUACUCAGCACUGCAAAAUAGUAGUAAUUUGUUUACCUGUUGAAGGUGUGCUGGUCAUCUGCAGCUCUUCAUCAAACAUCUCACUGGCUGUUUCUGCUAGCCCAUCAGAAUAGAGUGAGAGGCUGAACUGAGGGGCUGCAUAAAGGGCCAGUAUUAGAUAAAUAAGCUGUGAAUCAUGCAACGCUAUUUUAGUGGACUCCCAGAAUAAAAAUAUAGAGCUGGAAAUUAGCAUAAUAGGUCCUCUUUAAUAAUUUCAAGUUUACCUGCUUUAAUGCUUAAGAAUGGUUAAGUUUGCUGCUUUAAUUUUCCUUCAAAUUGCACCAGUGUUAUAUGAGUAUAGUUGUCUUUUCUGUUUGUUUGUUCUCUAACUGUUGUUUUUAACUGUUGUUUUUUUGUCUAUUUCUCGGUACUUCAAUGAAAACAUAUCAUGUCUGUGGUUCAGAUCCACUGAUCAUAGACCACGCAAACAUCUCUACAGAGUUAAGUUUUAAGUAAGCUGUUUUUAAAGCUGUAUGAUCUUAAUGAAUGCUUAUGAGUUUAUUUCCUGACUUGCUUUGCGACCUGGCACAGAUAGAUAGGGACUUUUUGUAAACCAUGCUGCCUUUGCUUGCUGUAUCUUGUUCAUGUAUAAUAUCUUUCAUUUAUUUUAUCUAGCUAUUAAUACUGGACAUUAGGAAAGUUUGUACGUGAAAGAAAUGAACUAUGUAUUUUAUUAAAGGUUUUGAAUAUAA